AAAUUAUUACAUGCCAUGGGAGUGGGGGUACAUUUUAUCGAAUGGGGAUUCAAAGUAAUGAAAUAAUUAAAUCGGAUCAAUCAAUGAAUAAACAAGGCAUGAGUGUAGGUGUAAGAGAACUGUCUCAUUGUAAGAAGGCCCAAGAGUAAGCCAUGCGAAGAAAAUAAAUAACACAACAAGUUAUAUUCACAAGGCACUCAAAAAUUAAAUUGAAAGAAACAACAUCGGGACGUGCACGGAUAAAAAUCGGGAUGCGAGGAUGUGAAUCAAAGUCACAUAACGCAAGAACGUGCACAGAGGUGGAAAUUGAAAAGCAAACAUGAAACCUAGAUAAUGUGCUCAAAGCCGGUUUGCACAUAUUGACAAUAAUUGAAAUGUCAUAUGCGAUUAAUCAUAACACGGCAAAAUUCUAUUGAUAUUUCGAUAAAAUAAUUAUAGAUAAACAACAUGAGAGUUAUUGAAUCCAUAAAUUAAAAUCGAUGCUUUGUCAAUUAAAAAUAAAUAAAAGGGAAAGCAUUACAAAAUAAGUAUAGGAGAAAUUGGGUUAAGACAUAAACAUGAAAAAUUAACAAUAGGAAGUUAAAUGCUAAAAAAACAAAAUGCCACAAGUGGGAUUCAAACCCACUACAAAAGGGGAGAUGAACUAACUCCAUCUCCACCCGAACACAAGUUGUUUACUGCUAGGCUACGACCAACAAAUACCUAAGUGCUAACCGAGAAAGAAAAAAAAAACAACAAUAAACCAACAAAAAUGGGUCGCUGGAUUUCUAUGGGAUCCAAGAGUCAACCCUAGCCACAUGGUUGUGGGGUUAGAAAUAAGACAAGUUUCCAUCAUUGAUGGCUAGCUGUUAGCUUUUAAUGCAAAACGACUAAAAUGAACAGUCAAGAGACUUGGUUAGAGCAUAUUAGACAGGUGUCAAUUUCCAACGGAAGAAAACAUUAAAAUCAAUCAUAAAAAAACGUAGAGAAGCAGCAAUCAAAUAAAAAAAGACAUUCAUACCAAUCUCACUCCCUCACGAGAAAUCCAAACUGUCACAACGAAAUCCAAUGGCGGUUGAGAAGGUAAUGCUAAAAACUCUCUUCCGAAUGCUCUAUUGUUGGUCGGUUCACCCUCCUCCUGAACCCGCUCACUUGCUUCGCCUUUUCACCUUCUACUCUGUGUCUUUGUUGUCGGUAUUGAAUCGGUUUUGAGUGACAAAGCUUAGCUCAGGCCGAUUACGUUUUUAAGUGAUUGCUCAACAAAUCUUCUGAAAAAUGGAGCUUUGAGUGACGUUCACCAUACGUUUCUGUAGGGAAACGAUUUGGGAUGAAACACUUUUGCAGGGCAAGGUCUUGUGAAGGGUGGUGAGUGUGGAGCUCUUCGCAACAUUCUCAGAGGAUCCUCCAGUGGAAGGCCACUGUGGUCAAUCAAAUCAAACAGCGCCGAGUAACGCUUCAACUAAUUGCAGACUCUUGAGUCCAGCCUCGCCUUGUUGUGUUCCGCUUCUUGUUCUACAAUAACGGGCCACAGUUGUGUUUGCUGUAGUGACCAUGCCGCUGGACUAACCAGUUGUACCAGCAUUUGCCGUUUGAGUUUGGGUCUUUUCUCGGGAUAGAAACCAGGUGGUGCUGAAGGAUAUCCAGCAGAGUUUAAGCUACCAUUCAUGGAGGCAGCUUCUUCAGCGACAAAGGGAAGAAAGAACAGAUGUAAGCAUGAGAGUUGAGGGUGUAAUGGCAGCAAGCCUAGCAGCAACAGUAGCUGCUGUUAUUUUUUUUCGAUGAUGGAAGGGGAAAAUUGGUAUUCCUUUGAGAGUUGUAAUCUUUGGUUGGCAUUGCUGGCGAAGAUAAUCCAAAUUUUGCUCCAUGUUUGGACUGCCUGUCAGAAAAUAAUGAGCGAUCCGAAGAAUAUGAUGGUUGAGUCCCAUUAAUACCUACUCUUGGAUCUUGAUAUUACACCACGGGAAAGCCAACUCUUUGGUAAGCAUCAUUUGAAUGAUUAUUGUUUGAAGAAUGUCCAUUUUCCACAGUAAUGGAGCUUCCUUUAUUCAUUACUGAUGUAGGGACAUGUUCAGCGGUAACAUCAAUUGAAGUUUUCCCUCCAUGACCAUUUAUUUUGUUAGCACCAUAUGUUCCAUUGGCAGAAGCUGGAGGAUGAUUUGGCAUAUUAUUUGGAAUUAGUUUUUUUGGUAGUUUUUGGAGUGAGUUCGACUUGGUCCUAAUGUCCAUUCUGUAAAUUGUAAGCUUAGAAAAAUCUCAUGAUUUGUAAUGAAUAUAACACUGGAUGUGAAUGAAAAUUGGUGUCCUUAUAGCAAAA